GAUCUGCUCUGCUGGAGUUUUGUAAGUGAGCCCAGGAUAGGGGUUGCUGGAAUAGCCAAGAAACUCUCCUCUGCCAGCAUGAAAGACACCAUAACAGGUGCAACAAGCAUACCAACACGACGAAGUUUGCAUUGGCAGCACCAUGCAUGCAUCUGCUUACAGCAUACUGCCCAAGGAAAGGAAGGGAAUUACUAACUCGCAGCCCAGCACCAACAGCAUAUCUAGGACCAUUAUAACCAAAUAACUAGGACCGCCUCAUUGCGCAAAAUGGAAGUGGAAGGAGAGAAGUCCACAGGAUUUAGAGACAUGAUCCUCAAGCAAAGGCUUCAAGGACCAGCACAACAAUUAUCUUCUACGUUGAAGGCUUUCAUGAAGGGAACUGAACACCUCUGCUGGCAGCAAAGGACCUGAGAAAAAAGAACUCCAGUGAAGAAAAAAUUACCUAGAUAUCUGAAACUGAACUGGACAGACAAAUCACCCCAGUAGUCCAGCUAUCUGGACAGAAUUAACCUCUCUGCAUCAAGCAGGAAAAGGAUGAGAGACUUGCUGUGGAAAUAUACACCCAGGUGACCCUAGUGCAAAGGACUGACUGCCUUGAUCUCGUAGGCUAACUGCACUUGUCUUUGAUCUACUUACUGCCUAAGAGGAGAAGCAACCGGAUCUAAUCAGGAUGAGAUACAGACAAGUAUAAUGUCAGCUUGGCUAUUGUCUCCAUGAUGCGUUCAUGCACAGGAUUUCUAAAACUAAGAGGAACACAUCAUAGCACAUAUCUAAGUCUUGUGCCCUAUGAAAACAAAUGGAACUCAAACAACUGCAAAGCUCCUGCCCCAAGGAAUUGUUUCCAUGGGUGACAAUCAGUGGGAUCCCAGAGGAGCCACAAACUCACAGACUGGUGGGCUCCUUCUUCCAGCUGCUGUAUGUACAGAUAGCUCACUUCACACUUUCCCACUUUGCUCCAAAAAAACGUGAUAUAAUCACAUCAGGACUUUCAGAGUGUAAGCUGCAGAAGCCAUUUAUUCACAUCACCAGCUAGGGCUCAACAACCCAACUGACAUUCUUUGUGCUGUUUUUUUUUUUUUUUUUUUCAAACCAAAAAGUUCACAUGAACAUCAGCCCACAAAUCAGCCAUCAUCACAGCGCAAGAAUCUGACCACUUUUUUAUACAUGCUAAAGCUAAUCAACAGCUAUGCAAGACACCAGAUCAGGUGUGUUAGGCUAGACACAACAGAAGGGGACAGCAGGAUACUGCUACUGACACCCAUUCAUUUACUUCCCUUUUACAGGUU